rnacentral:rRNA from 1 species
CACGUAGGGUGCAAGCGUUGUCCGGAAUCAUUGGGCGUAAAGAGCUCGUAGGCGGCUUAGUAAGUCGGGUGUGAAAACCCCAGGCUCAACCUGGGGACGCCACCCGAUACUGCUAUAGCUAGAGUCCAGUAGGGGAGUGUGGAAUUCCCAGUGUAGCGGUGAAAUGCGCAGAUAUUGGGAGGACCACCAGCGGCGAAGGCGGCACUCUGGGCUGGUACUGACGCUGAGGAGCGAAAGCGUGGGUAGCGAACAGG